rnacentral:rRNA from 1 species
UGGGGAAUUUUGGACAAUGGGCGAAAGCCUGAUCCAGCAAUGCCGCGUGUGUGAAGAAGGCCUUCGGGUUGUAAAGCACUUUUGUCCGGAAAGAAAUCCUUGGCUCUAAUACAGUCGGGGGAUGACGGUACCGGAAGAAUAAGCACCGGCUAACUACGUGCCAGCAGCCGCGGUAAUACGUAGGGUGCAAGCGUUAAUCGGAAUUACUGGGCGUAAAGCGUGCGCAGGCGGUUUGCUAAGACCGAUGUGAAAUCCCCGGGCUCAACCUGGGAACUGCAUUGGUGACUGGCAGGCUAGAGUAUGGCAGAGGGGGGUAGAAUUCCACGUGUAGCAGUGAAAUGCGUAGAGAUGUGGAGGAAUACCGAUGGCGAAGGCAGCCCCCUGGGCCAAAUACUGACGCUCAUGCACGAAAGCGUGGGGAGCAAACAGGAUUAGAUACCCUGGUAGUCCACGCCCUAAACGAUGUCAACUAGUUGUUGGGGAUUCAUUUCCUUAGUAACGUAGCUAACGCGUGAAGUUGACCGCCUGGGGAGUACGGUCGCAAGAUUAAAACUUAAAUGAA